CAGAGACUGGAACCGCCUCCAGUGAUGUGUCUGACGGCUUUACACUUGUCUAGAUAAGGUUUACACUACAUAUCACAGCGUAUUUAGGAGCUGCAGGGCUUAGAGAUGCUCACGAAUAAACACUUGAACGGGCGGCGCUCUGAGAGGACGACUGGUGGCUCCUUUAAUACAAACGCAGUUUGUAGCAGACAGAGAACCUGCUAUAAAUGAAGCUCCAGCUCCAGCUCAGAGCCCAAGCGAGGAGCUGGACCGGUUCCCAUGCAAACGAAGCUCACGGCCUUCGGCCUUUGUAACUGAAUAAACAGCGUCCAGUUGCUCCUCCCACACCUUUAAAAGCUUGUCACAGCCAUGAGACGAGGGGCGUCGGACCAGUGAGCGCUCACCAGUUCAGACGAUGGGACCGUGGAGCAGCUACCAGUCAGACGUCUCCCAGGUUCCUGUGAAGGAAAGCUCCUGCUGGGAUCUCUUCUUCCACGUAAUUGUGGAAAUAAAAGACGUACAAACACAGCGUGUCAAGGUUUUAGCCUAAAACCUCCAGGAAGGAACGGCUUUGCUCAUGUUCAUACUAAACAUGUGACACUACAGAGACUCUGUAAACACAGUGAGAGCUCAGGGAAAAGCUCCAAACAACUAGUUCAGCCACUGGACCAACGCGUGAGCUCCUAUUUAUCUCCUGACUCUUCAGCCACAAACCAUGAAGCUCUUACUGCAGUGCUUCUGUGUCUUUACUGGCUCCCAGUAGCAGAGGACGGACCUUCAGAUGCUGGUCCCAGCAGCGCCUCAGGGUUUGGCUCCUGGGCUUCAGUCCAUUCAGUAGGACACGGGGGACAAGGGGCUGUGAGUGACUGGUCAUCAUCAUCAUCGUCAUCAUCA